UACGAAGGGGGGCUAGCGUUGCUCGGAAUUACUGGGCGUAAAGCGCACGUAGGCGGAUCUUUAAGUCAGGGGUGAAAUCCUGGAGCUCAACUCCAGAACUGCCUUUGAUACUGAGGACCUUGAGUUCGGGAGAGGUGAGUGGAACUGCGAGUGUAGAGGUGAAAUUCGUAGAUAUUCGCAAGAACACCAGUGGCGAAGGCGGCUCACUGGCCCGAUACUGACGCUGAGGUGCGAAAGCGUGGGGAGCAAACAGGG
rnacentral:rRNA from 1 species